rnacentral:rRNA from 1 species
UACGUAGGGACCGAGCGUUGUCCGGAAUCAUUGGGCGUAAAGAGCGUGUAGGCGGCCACUUAAGUCCUGCGUGAAAUCCUGCGGCUCAACCGCAGGCGGUCGUGGGAAACUGGGUGGCUAGAGUGCGGGAGAGGAGAGUGGAAUUCCUGGUGUAGUGGUGGAAUGCGCAGAUAUCAGGAAGAACACCCGUGGCGAAGGCGGCUCUCUGGAACGCAACUGACGCUGAGACGCGAAAGCGUGGGGAGCAAACAGG